rnacentral:rRNA from 1 species
AUUGAACGCUGGCGGCAUGCCUUACACAUGCAAGUCGAACGGUAGAGGAGCAACCCUCGAGAGUGGCGAACGGGAGAGCAAUGCAUCGGAACGUGCCCAGUAGUGGGGGAUAGCCCGGCGAAAGCUGGAUUAAUACCGCAUACGACCUCAGGGUGAAAGCGGGGGACUCGCAAGAGCCUCGCGUUAUUGGAGCGGCCGAUGUCAGAUUAGGUAGUUGGUGGGGUAAAGGCCCACCAAGCCGACGAUCUGUAGCUGGUCUGAGAGGACCACCAGCCACACUGGGACUGAGACACGGACCAGACUCCGACGGGAGGCAGCAGUGGGGAAUUUUGGACAAUGGGCGAAAGUCUGAUCCAGCCAUGCCGCGUGCGAGAAGAAGGCCUUCGGUUUGUAAACCGCUUUUGUCAGGGAAGAAAUCUUCUGGGCUAAUACCCCGGGAGGAUGACGGUACCUGAAGAAUAAGCACCGGCUAACUACGUGCCAGCCGCCGCCGUAA